rnacentral:rRNA from 1 species
CUCAGGGAGGUAGUGACAAGAAAUAACAACACUGGAAAUUUCAUUUCUAGUGAUUGGAAUGAUGGGAAUCCAAACCCCUUUCAGAGUAACAAUUGGAGGGCAAGUCUGGUGCCAGCAGCCGCGGUAAUUCCAGCUCCAAUAGCGUAUAUUAAAGUUGUUGCAGUUAAAAAGCUCGUAGUUGGAUAUCUGCUGGAAGCAAUCAUCAGUCCGCCCUAUUUUAGGGUGUGCACUUGAUGAAUUCUGGCAUCUAUUAUUAUCCUUAAUAAUGUAGUCAUGAUUUUUAGUAAUCGUGACUUAUCAUUAGGGAUAAUACAGUUACUUUGAGAAAAUUAGAGUGUUUGAAGCAGGCUUUUUGUUGCCUUGAAUACUGCAGCAUGGAAUAACAAUAUAGGAUUUCGGUUCUAUUUUGUUGGUUUCUAGGACUGAAAUAAUGAUUAAUAGGGACAGUUGGGGGCAUUCGUAUUUAACUGUCAGAGGUGAAAUUCUUAGAUUCGUUAAAGACGAACUACUGCGAAAGCAUUUGCCAAGGAUGUUUUCAUUAAUCAAGAAUUCGAAAGUUAGGGGCUCGAAGACGAUCAGAUACCGUCGUAGUCUUAACCAUAAACUAUGCCGACUAGAGAUAGGAAAAUGUCACUGUUUCGACUUCU